CUGUCAGGAGGCUGACCUGGACCAUACCAUGCGUGGUGAAGCAUGUGUAACAAAUGUUCGCACAUUUGGAGUACUGUGCCGGGAAGAGGACGUGCUGUCCCUGAAGGAUGUCCGAGCGGAGACACCGGAGCGUCCUGUCAACAGCAGAUAAACACUACUUCACCUAAGAGACUUGAGUAUCCAGUUCUUCGUUGACCUUCAGCAUUCAGUUGUUUGUCUUCACCUUUUCAGGUUUCCUGUGUCCAGCAUCUUCAAGACAGACUAAGCUAACUUUUCAUAUUUUUUGCACAUUUAUAUUUAGGUUAGGUUAGAAGUAGAUUAGGUUUAUAGCAGAGUCUUUAGUUUGUAUAGUUUAGCUUUUUAUGCUGGUCUUCGGACAGUUAAGUUAGCAAAUUAAUUUAGUUCAGAUCACUUACAGUUGCAUAUUAUUGUUACAAUUGAGUUAUUUUGUGAGUUAUUGUUGUACAGGCUAUUGUAUAUUGCAGGACCAAGUGAGACGAGGAAGACCACUGCUUCCAAGAUGCCGCUCAGAAAGUGCGUUGGACAAGUCUCGACCUUGCAGAUCCUGCCCCACUUAGCCCAACCACUUCUGACCAUGGGGUACCUCAAAGACCUUCGUCAACCAGCCGGCUGUGGAUGAUGGAUAACGCACCCACAGCUCCUUCUCCAGUCUACAAGGUAU